rnacentral:rRNA from 1 species
UACGUAGGGUGCGAGCGUUGCCCGGAUUUAUUGGGCGGAAAGGGCGCGUAGGCGGCCUGGCGCGUCGGCUGUGAAAUCUCCCGGCUCAACUGGGGAGGGUCACGCGAUACUGCUCGACUUGAAGGCAGGAGAGGGAAGUGGAAUUCCCGGUGUAGUGGUGAAAUGCGUAGAUAUCGGGAGGAACACCAGUGGCGAAGGCGGCGCUCUGGGCCGGUACUGACACUGAGGAGCGAAAGCGUGGGUAGCAAACAGG